rnacentral:rRNA from 1 species
UACGAAGGGGGCUAGCGUUGUUCGGAAUUACUGGGCGUAAAGCGCACGUAGGCGGACAUUUAAGUCAGGGGUGAAAUCCCAGAGCUCAACUCUGGAACUGCCUUUGAUACUGGGUGUCUAGAGUAUGGAAGAGGUGAGUGGAAUUCCGAGUGUAGAGGUGAAAUUCGUAGAUAUUCGGAGGAACACCAGUGGCGAAGGCGGCUCACUGGUCCAUUACUGACGCUGAGGUGGCGAAAGCGUGGGGAGCAAACAGGAUUA